GGAGUUAGCCGGUGCUUCUUCUGCGAGUAACGUCACAGAUGUAAGGUAUUAACUUACACCCUUUCCUCCUCGCUGAAAGUGCUUUACAACCCGAAGGCCUUCUUCACACACGCGGCAUGGCUGCAUCAGGGUUUCCCCCAUUGUGCAAUAUUCCCCACUGCUGCCUCCCGUAGGAGUCUGGGCCGUGUCUCAGUCCCAGUGUGGCUGAUCAUCCUCUCAGACCAGCUAGGGAUCGUCGCCUAGGUGAGCCUUUACCUCACCUACUAGCUAAUCCCACCUGGGCUUAUCCAUCAGCGCAAGGCCCGAAGGUCCCCUGCUUUCCCCCGUAGGGCGUAUGCGGUAUUAGCAGUCGUUUCCAACUGUUAUCCCCCACAAAUGGGCAAAUUCCCAGGCAUUACUCACCCGUCCGCCGCUCGUCAUCUUCAAAAGCAAGCUUUUGAAAUGUUACCGCUCGACUUGCAUGUGUUAGGCCUGCCGCCAGCGUUCAAUCUGAGCCAGUANACACACUCGANAGAGCGGCGGUCGCGACGACGC
rnacentral:rRNA from 1 species